AAAGCGUGCGCAGGCGGCUUUGCAAGACAGAUGUGAAAUCCCCGGGCUCAACCUGGGAACUGCAUUUGUGACUGCAAGGCUAGAGUACGGCAGAGGGGGAUGGAAUUCCGCGUGUAGCAGUGAAAUGCGUAGAUAUGCGGAGGAACACCAAUGGCGAAGGCAAUCCCCUGGGCCUGUACUGACGCUCAUGCACGAAAGCGUGGGGAGCAAACAGGAUUAGAUACCCUUGU
rnacentral:rRNA from 1 species